GACACUUUGGCCGAGUGGUUAAGGCGCGCGCCUGCUAUUCUCAGGAAUAUUCUGCCAGCGCGUGGGUUCGCCCGCGUGAGUUCGAAUCUCACAGGUGUCG